UACGGAGGGUGCAAGCGUUAAUCGGAAUUACUGGGCGUAAAGCGCGCGUAGGCGGUCAGAUCAGUCGGGUGUGAAAUCCCCGGGCUCAACCUGGGAAUGGCAUUCGAUACUGUCUGGCUAGAAUACGGGAGAGGGUUGCGGAAUUCCACGUGUAGCGGUGAAAUGCGUAGAUAUGUGGAGGAACAUCAGUGGCGAAGGCGGCAACCUGGCCCGAUAUUGACGCUGAGGUGCGAAAGCGUGGGUAGCAAACAGG
rnacentral:rRNA from 1 species